ensembl:lncRNA
CUCGCCCCUACCACGAGAGGCCGAGCCCUUCCUUAGGAGAUGGCGGCCAUGACGGCUGCAGCUGAGCUCCAUCACGUUCCAAACCAAUCGGCAACGAGCGACGACCUGUGGCACCGCAAUAAAACGACAGUAGCUGCGAGUCUCAAGAAUCAGACAUAAGAUUAAUAAUCCAAAACGUUAAAGCAGAUGAACUGAGAUCCGGGUCAAUGGGCGUUUCCCGUCAUGUCUAGUCCUUUUUGUUUCGACCUAUCGUGUAGCUCGAGGCGGCGGUGUGAGCGUGUGAUUGGCUGUUAACGGCCAACAGCGUCUCGGUCUAUCUGUUGAGGGUUCAUAAAAAUGGAAUGUGGAAAUACACUUCUUCGUCAUCGCCUCACACAACUGAGUGUCAUUUGUGUGAAUGAAUAUUUUGUGACGGAAAAUGAAACCAGUUGUAACACGGGCCCUGGCAGGUCUCGGUCUCCAGCUAGGGCUCAGCAGUUCUGCUGUAACGUCGCCGGACGCUGGCCCUCUGAUCAGCGGGUCAGAGUGACCAGGGUGGGCGUAACUCCCGGUGGGAUGCGCCGACCAGGACCUUAGGAUCCCGUCCUCAUAAGGCCCUACCAGGCUGGCCCUGAGUUCAUUCAUAUGUUCACAUAACCUCCUCAGCGACUGCUUUCAGGUUGACAGAAACCUGCCAAACCGGUCUGCUUAAGCUCACUCGUUACUGCCAGAUUUUCCUUGAUGAAAAGGUCAUGUUCAUUUAAAUUAUUUCAACCUUUUUUAUAAAAAUGCAGCAGAUGAAAACAAUAAAUCAUCAUCAAAAGUUGGAACGAAAUGAGCUGAUUCAAUGGGCCACGUUGGAGAGAUAUUUUGUCCUUGCAGAUGAAUAUCACCGCCGUGUGUGGAAGAGCCCCCCACCCCCCUCAACAAAGCAGGCCUGUGUGUGUGCAGACAGCUGCUGUGUCCGGGCUCCGAGCUCCUCUCUACAGCAGGCGCUGAGAAUUGAAAGUAGGGCGGGGGAUGGAGCAGCCACGGAGAGGAUUAAGGGAGAGGUCAGAGGUCAUCCAGACCAUCCAGCUAGAGGAGCAGGAGGCCGGAGGGCUGUCCCCUCCACACUAGGCCUGACGUCAGCCUGCAGGCCGGGGCGAUGAGGCUACAGGACAAGUCAAGCCUCGGGAUGGGCGCUGCGUUUUAAACGUACAUUCAAGUAAAGGCUUUGUGAGGUUGUGCUGUCGAUGGCACGGCCAUCGACAGCACAACCUCCAUGACGGAUGAGGGGUUCAGUUCUGCCUGACCGGUAGGAGAACAAACAUCCAUUAUAUGGUCCUGGAGAUGUUUCAGAUCAAGUAUGUGCCCAUUGUCGCUCCGUUUCCCUCGAAAUCUUACCAAUGGGCUUUGAAUAUAAAUGUUUAUACAUUUGUUUGAUUCAGCCAUAAGUAUACUUCAUAAACUUCUCUACGUCAGAGAGCACGUCCCACAAUGCACACAGAAGAUAGCCGACAGACUUAUCUGGGUGUCUACAGUACGCGUGUGUGUGUGUGUGUGUGUGUGUGUGAGUGUGUGAGUAUGUGUGUGUGAGUGCGUGCGUGCGUGCGUGCGUGCGUGCGUGCGUGCGUGCGUGCGUGCGUGCGUGCGUGCGUGCGUGCGUGCGCUAUCUUAUCUCCCCACACUCAUGGCACCAGAGCACCAUUAGAUUAUUCCGGGCUGUGACGGCCAACAGCCGCCCUGAAUCCUCGUCCACUCGCCCUGAUUGCGCGCUCAGCCCCGAGCCGGCCAGGGAUCGCUGCAACUCAUUACCGCGCGUGGAGCUGGGGUGACACACGGGGCGACACACACGCCGUCACAGUGACGUGGACGCCACGCGCGGGAAUUAAGAGAGGGGCGUUGAAAUGUCAGAGGGGGGGUUUAAUGAAACAGAGGAGGAGGCCGAGGGGAGGGGAGCUCUGGGUGGGUAGGAAAUAAAUUGCUAAGUAAUAAAAAAUGCAUGGAUUCAUCAAUUUUAAAUAUGUAUUUACAAUUUCCUUUUUUUCUGUUUUGGGGUAAAAG